GAGUGUGGCCGGACGGGCUCGAAGGAGCCGCCGCAGGUGAACAAUGAGAGCUGUGAGGGGCUGAACACGGCUGAGCGGUGUCCUGGCCAGAGUGAGUGUGCGGGGCUGUGAAAAGCGCCUUAAAUGCACGCUAUUAACUAAUAAAUAGCGGAUUUAGUUGGAGUUCUGACGGCCUAGCAGGCUCUGGUCUGUCCUAGCUGGAAGAUUCUGUAGUAGGGGUUCAUAGUUCAGGUGAGAAACAGGGGAAGUUACUUGUACAAUGCAUAAAAAAUAAACAAUAAAUCGCAAUCGCAGGUGUACCCAGCAGCCUGGCUCCCCGUGCUAACAAGCAGCCGCAGUGGGAUCAGGUGUGUCUGAUUCCUAAAUUAGUCCCAGCAGGUUGUUACAGUAAUGAAAGACUUUGGGUUCAUUACAGGAGAUUCAUGUGCUAAUUAGCAGCCCAGUUAAUAGGGCAGACUGGGAGCUGUGCUUGCUGCUCCCCGGAUUUCCAAAGCCUCAGGAGAAGGAAUGCAGGGAUGCAGUGUGAGCAUCAGAGGCAGGAUUAUUUCUGUUUUCAGCCGUGCUUUAGGGAUAGCAGAAAAAUAACGAAGAAAACAAUGACUAAUGAGCGGCUGUGCCCGGGCUGGGGUUCCCCUUGUGAAGGAACAUUUCUGCAUCCCGAGAGAAGCUGCCCAGCAUUGCAGAGGGAAGGAAGAGCUCGGAGGUGCGGUGGGAGAGGAGCGCCGUCCCCAGCAGGUGGCAGGAGCCGCCUUCCCGCACGCUCCGUGCCGCUGUCCGUGGUUACCCACGGCAGCCCGGGAUGCUCGGGAACAGCAGCGGGAAAGGGGCUGAGCCGAGCAUUCCCUGGAUGUGGGAAUGGGGAAAGCUGCGGCUGCUCCCCUGCUCGCGGAUCCCGCACCACAGGAGCGUUUUGGCUGGGCUUUGCUGCCACGUGGGGCACAGAAAUGACUUUGGCAGGGACAGCACCCAGGGAGCAGCUGGAGCUGGGCCAGGGGGGCUCAGGCUGGAGAUCAGGAAAGGUUCU